rnacentral:lncRNA from 1 species
UGAUUCACCGGUAAAAAGGCUAAAAUCUGGGAUUUUGAAACCUUUAGGGUAUUUGAACUGUUCCACAUAAGCUGGAUACGGAUGGAUAAAUUUAGGGAACUUCGGCCCUUUUUUCAUGGCCGAAUCGAUCAUCCGCUGAACCUCGGUCAUAUCAACGGGUGUGGCUUCUACUCUAUGGUCGGAUCCGCCUGACUUACUA